rnacentral:rRNA from 1 species
UACGUAGGGACCAAGCGUUGUUUGGAUUUACUGGGCGUAAAGGGCGCGUAGGCGGCUUGACAAGUCACUUGUGAAAUCUCCGGGCUUAACUCGGAACGGCCAAGUGAAACUGUCAUGCUAGAGUGCAGAAGGGGCAAUCGGAAUUCUUGGUGUAGCGGUGAAAUGCGUAGAUAUCAAGAGGAACACCUGAGGUGAAGACGGGUUGCUGGGCUGACACUGACGCUGAGGCGCGAAAGCCAGGGGAGCAAACGGG